CUCUUUUCAUCCUUUCUCUCCAUCCUCUCCAUCUAUUGCCCCUUCACUCACCACUCUGCUUCCACUCCCUGACUAUCACUCUCUCGGACACAUACUCUACCCUAUCAAACCACCGUCCAAGGUCUUCCUAAGGAUUGGUCUGGCUUCUUUACAACGUGGCUGAUCUCCUUAUUUGGGUUGUUGUGUUUUCAGUGAGAGCCGCAGGUCAGACUGGAGAGCAGCGCAGGUCCUGUGUCCACAUUUAACCUCCCGUCCAUGGAUAAAGAGUCCCGCUGGCACAAAGCGUCUCACACUCAGGGCCUUCAACGUGGGAGUGACUAAAGCCGUCAGGGUGAGAGAGGAUGAGGAUGGGCCUGGCCUCCAGCUCCAGAGUCAGUGAGGGGAAAGCCCUCCCACAGGAAACCAGCGCUCCACUCCACAUGGCCUUUUAAGGCCAGAGAGAAGUUUCAGCAGCAUGGCUGUCGUGAAGAUGUUCAUGGUUCCCAGUGGGUGAAGCCUACUGCCUUUGGUGGUUGACUGACCUCUCCUCAGACAUUCACGACGCCCGGAAGAUGAGAUGACGGGGAAGCAGUGCGUUACAAGAGGACUGGCUCCAGCAGGACGGACAAUUCAACGGGCUUCCUGUCUUCUCCUGAACUCAGAGAUUUAACAAAUAUGUUAAGCUUUGAAAUGACUGCUAAAUCUUUUUAUUCGCUGCAACAAGGAAUUCAAUUCAAGUCAUAUACUUUGUAAAUUGUGCAACAACAACAAAAUGUGUGGCUUUUUAAAAUACACGAGACAACAUCUUGUUUAUGAUGACAGAACUGACUUUUUUUUGUAACCAUUUAUUGUAUAGAUGUAGGAUACAUGUUCACAUUCAGUGUGUGCUAUCAAUAUUUUGAUCCUACAUUUGGGUUAAAUAACUAUUUCGGGAACUAAAAUGCCGAGCCAUGUCGUUUAGGUUGACAGUUUUUUUUGAUAGUGUAAAAAAACUGGGCAAAGCACACCGAUUUGAAUACAGAUUUAUUAGCAUAAUGGACAAAUAUGCAGCAAGUCUUUUGAGUGUAUCAGCUGUCCGAGAUUAGGCAAAGGCAUCACAUGCAUCAAUAACGAGACAUAGAUGGAUGGCAGCUUGCUUAUCUGCUUAGCUCAGUUCUAUGUCCACGCCUUGAAUACAAUGCACUCAUUAUGGUGUGUGACACAGACUGGAUAUUGUGUGGUGCCCAGGCAUGAAGAAAGGAAAGGCUGCGGCCCUUUGUGAAGUGGGUCAAGUCCACCAAGGGGUUACCAGUUGGCUGUGUCAGCAGAAUGAUGUGAUUAUAGCCUAUGAACCCUCAAAGAAGCAAAGAAACCUGCUCACGGCCCUGUAGUCGCACACAUUAUCCCAUGAUCCUUUGUCUGGCACUAAAUACCAAGACGUUGUGGGGUCAGAUUGGAUGUCAUGUGUAGUGUUGGUUUGAAUUAGCCUCAAACGCAACCAAGAACCCCAAUGAAAACAUCUCAGUCGAGUGGUGAGCAAAUCUCAUGAGAGCUUCACAUCCUGCAAAACCCAAAAGUAGGAACAAAUAUGAAUGUUGAAUGCUGAGAAUGCAGAAAAUCCAUAUGUGGAUGCAGGACUGGUGGUGCGGCCUGAAAAUAAUUGUAAAUACAUCAUGUAAGAGUUUGCCAUUCAGUAGAGAUCUAUGUAUUUGGGGAAUGUUUGGGAAAUAAGCCUCGAUUUGACCACUAAAUCCCUCCUCUGUGAGGUUCUGGUGUUAUAGCUCCUUUAAAUAUGGCCAAGUCAGGCAGAACAACUUUGAGCCUGACAAUAAAUGCUGACAUUGAAUCUUUUUUAACAAUCUUCAAGUCAACGUACUGUAGUCACCUUUCCACACUUCAAAAUAAAUAUAAUUACAGGAGAAAUAAAGGUUUAACGAGGGCUCUUAAGUAGGUGUAAAAGUUGUGCAAUGUAAAAUGUCAAGACAUGUUAAUUUUAUGUUACGUUGUUUAUAGAUGGGUUUGCAUGGAAAACCUCUUAAAAUAGCCAAACUCGUAAAAACGCCUAAAACAUUGUCCUCUGGUGCUCACGAGGACAACACGAGUGGUACAUGAGGGGUGUCAAGUUGCAGGUAGCCAACCUCCACAUGGGAAUGGGAGUGUGUGUGCAUAUUCGUAGCAGCCUAUAGGUGACCCACGAGUCUGUCUGAAUCUGUGAUGUCAUCGCUCCGAUCAGGGUGAUCCGUUCCCGGCCAAUCAUUGUGAAGCAGGAGUUUUCCGGUGGAGGCAUUCGGUGGAUGAUUAAAGGGGGAGGUUAAGCUCUAAACUAGGCUGUAAAUCAUUGGCCAAGAUGGAUCACACCAGAACACUAAAGAGAUCAAAGAAUAUCAUUAUUAAUGUAGUUUAUACUUUUACUGGAUUCUAGGACAUUUCUGAUGAAAAUCUUAUCACAAUUUGUAAAGUAUACAUUGUCUUUCAAUCUGUAUCCAGUCAAUGUGGUUUACUGGGAUGUGCUUUUCAAUAGUUUUAUUUGCAGCACAAAGUCCUAAAUUAUUGCACCCAUUGGCUUCUUGUUGGACACAGCACUGACACCAACUGGAUUCAGGAAAAAUGUACAAGCUAAAGUUUAGUGCCUGUCCAUGCUUGUAACGUGUGACGCGCCCUCAUCUUUACUCUAUAGUUUCUCUUCAUUUUCAAGGUCAGCAAAUGUUUGCAUCUAUCAAGGUGGCUUUUAUGUGAAGUAGAAAAACCUUUUUGUUUUCAUUGAUCUCAUUUCCAGGUCAAAUUGUGUCCCAUUUCCUCUUAAAAGAGUUAUUGUUCCUCAAAAUCCACUAAAACCGUCAUAUUUUCUCACGAAUGAAGCCACAGAAUACCUUUGACACAGCGUGAGCCAUACAAGUGUUUCCUUCCUAUAUUUGAAACCAUUUUGGUCAUUUCUCUCCCACACAAAAGUCUAUAAUAAGACGUGGGGGAGGAAGUUUCCUUUGUCAAGAAAUAAAGAAAAUAAAUGAAAGUUCAAACUUU